rnacentral:ncRNA from 1 species
UUUAACUACUAGGGGUGCCUUAUUCGUGAGGCUGAGAGAAAAAGUAAUUUUUUAACCCUUUGGACCUGAUCUGGAUUAUGCCAGCGUAGGAAAGUAGUCGGCGCGAAAC